CUGGGUGAAAGUCUGAUUGAGGAGGGAAGGGAGUUCCACAGAAUAGGUGCAGCCCUGGAGAAGUCUUGAAGGCGAGCAUCAGAGGUGGGGAUCCGGGCAGAGGAUAGGCAUAGGUCUUGGGCUGAGCGCAGGGGUCUCGACGGGACAUACUUGAGUAUGAGGGAGGAUAGCUAUGUUGGAGCAGCAUUAUGUAGGGAUUUGUAAGCAAG